rnacentral:rRNA from 1 species
AUUGAACGCUGGCGGCAGGCCUAACACAUGCAAGUCGAGCGGAGCGUCGGACGGGUGAGUAAUGCCUAGGAAUCUGCCUGGUAGUUGGGGAUAACGUCCGGAAACGGGAGCUAAUACCCCAUACUAUCAGCUGAGCCUAGGUCGGAUUAGCUAGUGGGUGGGGUAAUGGCCUACAAGGGCGACGAUCCGUAACUGGUCUGAGAGGAUGAUCAGUCACACGGGAACUGAGACAAGGUCCAGACUCCUACGGGAGGAAGCAGUGGGGAAUAUUGGACAAUGGGCGAAAGCCUGAGCCAGCAAUGCCGCGUGUGUGAAGAAGGUCGUCGGGUUGGAAAGCACUUUCAGCGGGGAGGCGUUACCCGCAGAAGAAGCACCGGCUAACUCCGUGCCAGCAGCCGCGGUAAUUC